UUGGUGCCUUCGGGAACGCAGAGACAGGUGCUGCAUGGCUGUCGUCAGCUCGUGUUGUGAAAUGUUGGGUUAAGUCCCGUAACGAGCGCAACCCUUGUCCUUAGUUGCCAUCAUUUAGUUGGGGACUCUAAGGAGACUGCCGGUGACAAACCGGAGGAAGGCGGGGACGACGUCAAGUCAUCAUGGCCCUUACGAGUAGGGCUACACACGUGCUACAAUGGCCGGUACAGAGGGUCGCGAAGCCGCGAGGUGGAGCUAAUCUCACAAAGCCGGUCGUAGUCCGGAUUGGAGUCUGCAACUCGACUCCAUGAAGUCGGAAUCGCUAGUAAUCAUGAAUCAGAAUGUCACGGUGAAUACGUUCCCGGGUCUUGUACACACCGA
rnacentral:rRNA from 1 species